CUAACCGAACCCUUCAAUUUCAAGAUUACUCUUCAAUAGAAGGCGAAUUUAAGGAGGAAAAAAAAUCACCAAUCCAUGGCCUUCUCAUAUCCAUCUUUCCGAUUUCUGUUAUCAAUUUCUCAUCUCAAAUUUUUGCGAUUAAAUUCUUAAAAAACCGGCAGCUUUGAAUCACUUUUUCGCUGCAAAUUGUCUGAUCCAGUUCGAAUGGAGUAUCAAUUCAACCUCUUCAACACUAAUUAGGUUUGUUACUGAUGAAGUUUUUGGGGUCAGGAUUCCUAAUCGAAUUAGAUUGGUCAAUUGACAUCAAAAUGGAAGCGCAGGUCAAAUGCAACCCACCAAAGGUGGGCUUCUCAGCCAAACAGGAAAACUUCAAGUGCUUGCGAUCAGCGGAAGAAGGAAAGUCAAAUGCUGUCACAGUUUGAGUGACAAGGAAAUGGGAAGAGGUUAUCGUUGACGAGGAGGUGGAGCAAAUCAAAGAUAUUUCCAAGGAAGCUUGAAUUGUUUGAUCCUAGAUGUGAAAGAAGAUGCAGAAGCCUUAUAUAAAGUAGAAUGCAUGACUAUUCAUGGAGCAUCUUAUAAAUUUUUUUCCAACUGGAGGUAAUUCGGCUUCGUCUCUGAAGUAAGGGAUUCGUUGACCACUGCUUAUGAAAUUUUAGUAAAUAGACACUGCUUAUGAAAUUUUAGUAAAUAGACCAAUCUUCUCUUAUCUAUCAUUGUCGAUGUGUGCUCUGCCAGACCAAUGCCAUUACCUUCUAUAUUUGUCGAUUGUGUGGGUCAACACGGAGAAGUGUUAGGAAACCAAAAUACUUGAACAAAAUUAAAGUAUUUUGUUCCCCUGACAUCAAGACUUUAGUGUACCAAUGUUGUCUUGACAUUCCUAAAUAAAAGACCGAGUAACUUUCGAGAACUUAGGAUGGACAGUGGAGCUGCGGGUAUAGAUAUACUCCGGGACUAGGGUUUUGGAAAGGAAGAAGUAGAUUCGCAGUCAAAACUAUGCAUAAUAUUGAAUUAAUUACUUAUAUAUCUCAUUAGUUAAUUUCGCGCAUACUUGACUGCAGAGGCUAUAAUUAUUCUAAUGUCAUUGGUAGUGAAUGAUAAAGUGGAGCUAACGCCAUAUCUUUCCAAGAUAUCCAGAGGCAGCUCCGAACUGGGAUCACCUUCCAUUCAACAUCUUUGGAUUCUUCAUGGGAUUGACUGUUAGGAUCUAAUUAUAUUUACAAUAACACUUUCAUCAAGGGAGUAAAAUAUAUGGGUGAAGAGAUUCAAAGCUUCAAAGCGACAGGUUGCCUUGCUGAUGGUUGAAAAAGUAAUAGUAAGUUUGAAUUCAACAAAGUGAUUGGACAUCAGAUUCGUGGAGGAAUUCCAUGAGUGACCACAACGAAGAACAAAUCAGGAAAGUGCUCACUGAGUUCAACCAAUGCGGCACAGCCUCCCCACGAUCGGCAUGCGACGCAGAAAUGUAUUGCAAGUAAUUUCCAAGAAUAGGCAAAUUGAGCGCAGGUAAAUACCUAGCAGCCCUACACAUAGUAAUAAAUGUAAUAUGAUAUAUUCAUAAAAGUGCAUUUAAACAUACCCAGUCUUACUUCCAUGUUUAUAUUCAUGUUGUAUACUAAAGUCCUCUUAAGUUAUUGAUAUGGAGUAAGAACUCAGUUUUACAGUGGAAUGUGAAUACCCGCUGUAAAGCUCCAUGAAUAUGAGAAAAAAUGUAAGAAAAAUUGUAAAUUUGAGGCUGCUGCUUUUCUA